rnacentral:rRNA from 1 species
AUUGAACGCUGGCGGCAGGCCUAACACAUGCAAGUCGAACGGUAACAGGAAGCAGCUUGCUGCUUCGCUGACGAGUGGCGGACGGGUGAGUAAUGUCUGGGAAACUGACUGAUGGAGGGGGAUAACUACUGGAAACGGUAGCUAAUACCGCAUAACGUCGCAAGACCACAGAGGGGGACCUUCGGGCCUCUUGCCAUCGGAUGUGCCCAGAUGGGAUUAGAUAGUAAGUGGGGUAACGGCUCACCUAGGCGACGAUCCCUAGCUGGUCUGAGAGGAUGACCAGCCACACUGGAACUGAGACACGGUCCAGACUCCUACGGGAGGCAGCAGUGGGGAAUAUUGCACAAAUGGGCGCAAGCCUGAU